ensembl:lncRNA
AUGGAGAAGGAGAGCGUAUCUGGAGGCAGGCGUGCCCAUGGGCGCAAUCCCGGCACGCCGGGAGUUGGUGACAACCGAUGCCUGCCUCUCGGGAUGGGGCGCAGUGUGGCAGGGCAGGACUGCGCAGGGACGGUGGUCUGGCCGGGACAUGGCACAACACAUCAAUGUGCUGGAACUCCGGGCUGUGCAGCUGGCAUUAGCCAGCUUUCUGCCCCAUUUGACAGGCCGGCAUGUCCUGGUCCGGUCGGACAACAUGGCCACGGUUUCGCAGGUGAACCACCAGGGGGGCACCAGGUCAGCACGGCUACUCCGGGUAUCCCAGAGCCCGUUGACUUGGGCUUCUCCCCGUCUGGCCAGCCUACGUGCAGUCUAUUUGCCGGGGGCCCAGAAUCGGGCGGCAGACUUCCUCUCCCGACGGAAGCCUCCACCGGGGGAAUGGCGGCUUCACCCCGAGGUGGUGGAGUCAAUGUGGGGCCUCUUCGGCAGGGCAGAGGUGGACCUCUUUGCCUCGGAGGAGUCGGCGCAUUGCCCCCUCUGGUUCUCCUGGGCAGAAGCGUCCAGCCCUUUAGGGCAGGACGCGCUGGCGCACGAUUGGCCGGACAGGCCUCUUUAUGCCUACCCACCAUUGCCUUUGAUUCUGCCGACACUCCAGAGGGUCCUUUUGCAGGGCCACCGGCUCCUUCUGGUGGCCCCCUUUUGGCCGGGGAGGCUCUGGUAUCCACUGCUGCUCAGGCUCUGCUGCAGCACGCCAUGGCGCCUCCCCGACAGGAGGGAUCUCCUGUCCCAGCUGGGGGGUCAGAUCUGGCAUCCCGACCCCUCUCGCCUACAGCUCUGGGCUUGGCCACUGCAGGGCCCGACCCACUGCUGAGGGAGUGCACUACGGCUGUCAGGGGUACGGUCAUGAGUGCCAGGGCACCAUCGACCAGGUUGCAGUACGGAAACAGGUGGAAGCUGUUCUCCAACUGGUGUGCGGCUAGGGCCGUGGAUCCAGUGCAUUGUGCUGUGACCACGGUGCUGGAAUUUCUGCAGUCCCUCCUGGAUAGUGGCCGGUCGCACUCUACCCUGAGGGUCUAUGUCGCUGCCAUCUCCUCCCUACAUGAUAGGGUUGACAGCGCCACGGUAGGGCGCCACAGAUUAGUGUCCCUCUUUCUAAAAGGGGCUUUGAGGCUGCGUCCCCCUACAGCCAUGCGGUCUCCAGCAUGGGACCUGCCGCUGGUGCUGGAAGCCUUGUCGUCUCCUCCCUUCGAGCCUUUGGGUCAAGGGGGUUUGAAGUGGCUGUCUAUGAAGGCUGCCUUUUUACUCGCCAUAACAUCUGCCAAGCGGGUCGGGGAGUUGCAUGCCCUAUCAGUGAGUGAUACAUGCCUGAGGUGGAACUCUGAUGGCUCGGGUGUCACUCUAUGGCCGAACGUUGCGUUCCUGCCAAAGACCCUGCCACGCAAUCACCUUAACCAGCCCAUCCAGUUAGCACGCUUUGACCCCCCUUCUGGGGAGGGUGGGUCUGAGCUGCUGUGCCCGGUGCGGGCCCUUAGGGCUUAUAUUUCUGCUACCGCCGGUAUUCGCCAGUCGGAGCAGCUUUUUGUUUGCCAUGGUGGCCCUAACAGGGGUCAUGCUUUAACAAAGCAGAGGCUGUCCCACUGGAUUGUGGAGACCAUAACACACGCCUACGGGGCCAGUGGCCGCCCCCCGCCAUCCAGGGUGAGGUGUCACUCAACUAGGAGCGUCUCCACAUCAUGGGCUGCCCUGAGAGGGGUGCCCCUGGGGACCAUCUGUGCCGCGGCGUCAUGGGCGUCGCCUAGCACAUUCUCCAGGUUCUACCGGGUCAACGUUGCCACUCCCCAUCCAAUGGGCGUGGCCCUGAUGCCAAGCUCUGCUUUCUCUGAUCAGUAG